CAAAAGCGUAUAUUAAAGUUGUUGCAGUUAAAAAGCUCGUAGUUGAACCUUGGGCUUGGCUGGCCGGUCCAUCUUUUUUGAUGCGUACUGGACCCAGCCGAGCCUUUCCUUCUGGCUAGCCUUUUGGCGAACCAGGACUUUUACUUUGAAAAAAUUAGAGUGUUCAAAGCAGGCCUUUGCUCGAAUAUAUUAGCAUGGAAUAAUAGAAUAGGACGUUAUGGUUCUAUUUUGUUGGUUUCUAGGACCAUCGUAAUGAUUAAUAGGGACGGUCGGGGGUAUCGGUAUUCAGUUGUCAGAGGUGAAAUUCUUGGAUUUACUGAAGACUAACUACUGCGAAAGCAUUUACCAAGGACGUUUUCAUUAA
rnacentral:rRNA from 1 species